GCUGUAGUGUUUCACACUUACCAACCCAGCACCCCAGAGGCAGAGACCAGAGAGUAACCUCAAGCAUGAAGCCGGCCUGGUCUACCCAUUGCGUUCCAGGCCAGCCAAGACUCCAGAAUGGAACAAACAGGAACAUUAAUUACACCCAGAUUUGAAAUCUGGAUUUAUUUCUACCUUAAGUAAUGAUACUGGGUUAUUAACGUCUGUUUGGAGAAUAACAAUAAUAAAAGGUAAAAUUGUAGCUAUGUCUCCUUUUGAGAGGUUGAUCUUGUGAUGUCUCUUUUCAGAAUCUGAUAAAAUACCAGUAAUGCGUGGACAGUGGUUUAUUGAUGGGACUUGGCAGCCUCUAGAAGAAGAAGAAAGUAAUUUAAUUGAGCGAGAACAUCUCAGCUGUUUUAGAGGUCAGCAGAUGCAAGAAAACUUUGAUAUUGACGUGUCAAAAUCCGUAGAUGGAAAAGACGGCAGUGGGAUCAACUAUUCUGGUGAGUACAAUACACAGGAGCUUAGAAUAUAUAGAUACUCCAAGUGUUUCUUCAUCCUUGCUUGCCUUUAUUUGGGAGGCUUUUGGCAAGCCCUGCUGAACCUAGUGAAUUGAAGUACAACUUGAGUAAUCACUUUCCUUCCCCAUAAAACCCCUCUAAAGCCAAGCAGCCCAGCAUUGAUGGGGCAGGUCACAGAAUGUAGCUCUGCAUUGUCUUCAGGCCCUGUAUCCAGUCUCUUCUCUUUGGUCCAUUUCCUCCUCUUUGCUUCUGUUCCUUAUUGUCUGUCAUCUCACUGAACACUUAGACACACACACACACACACAC
rnacentral:lncRNA from 1 species